ACUUCGCGCGGCACGCGAGGUCCUCCGUCAAUCCAUAACUGACAACGACCAAGAGACAGCUACGUGAUCCAAUCGGAGCCGUCCGCCCCCCGAACCGACUCAAUCGACGAGAGAACCCCUGUAUAAUUGCCCUCCCCUCCUUGCUAUCCUCUCUCCUCUCAUCGCCUGUCGCAGGCUCCUCUCCUCCUCGUUCCUCCCUGCACGUCAACUGCGAGGAUGUUGCUAUUUAGGCUGGUUCGAUCCUUUGUUGGAAGAAUUCCACCUUGGUGGAUGUCCUACCCUAAGAGAUGACGCGAGUCCAAGAUCUUCUCGCGACUCGCUCGUGAUGGCUGAUCGAUCCAUGUGCCGGAUCCGUCAAUUUGUGUUCCAAUUCUUCACCGAGUGAUCAAUCCAAGAGAAGUUCAUCUGGCUACAGGUGGCAUGCUGGCACCGGUUAUUUUCCGCUGGUAUCUAAACCAACUUUAGUUGAAGAUCAAGACGGCGUGAAGAACAGCUCAUCUGGGUUAUGUUCCUGUUCGCUGAUCAAAUGAUGUUUGAUGGUGAGAUGUGCUUGCCUGUCUCCAGAUUAAGGUAAUUGUGCUGGUAAGCUGAUGCGCAUCAUGCGUAUUGUACUACAUGUACCUAGAUUGGUAGACCAGGACGGCCUUUGCCAUGUCGGGUGCGCUCGCUUGGCAGGCCACGAGGCAAUAAAAGUACAUUUUGUUGUGUUCGCGGGGUGGAGAUCGCACGGGGAACUAUAUAUUUGUUUUAUUUU